rnacentral:lncRNA from 1 species
UUGUGUCUUGUGAAUCUUCUCAGCUAACCCUCCUGAUCUACCUACGAUUAAUUACGACUAGGCCCUUGCAAUCUUGUUUAGCUCGUGGAAUCUAUGUUUUAGCUCCGUUCUAAUCCGUUCAAGUUGCGUUAAGUUCAUAAUAACAUAAAAUACACGUUAGUGGUAAUAUUUUCAUUCAUGCAUGUUUUUGAAAAUAAAUUUGUUAUUAAUUUGAGUAAUGCCUGAUAAACAUGUUUCUUCUCUAAAUAAAAUCUACUCAGAG